rnacentral:lncRNA from 1 species
UCGCUGAAGUGAGCUAGAUUCCCUUGGAGUUUGAGGAGGUCUGCUCCAUUUGGUUUCCGUUUUGAGGGAGGUCGAUCCAUACAAUAGCCUUUGUUAGUGGCUAGUUCUAGGGGUGAAUAAGAUGUUGAAUAACUUGAUUUUGACUACCAUGAGAUUCUUCAAACUUAGCUUCUGAAAUGUUUGGGUUUAUCUUAAGCUAAGAAAGUGAAGUUUUUGAAAGAAAAUUUGAAGAAAAUCUAGUCAAAUUUUUGCAAUUAGGGUUUCAUACGGAGGAAACUUGAUUUCAAAUGGGAGGCUCUUUGAAGAAGAUAACUUUAGUAGUUACUUUAAUAGAGAAU